AAAGGGCGGCUACACAUGCAAGUCGAGCGCGCCUUUCGGGGUGAGCGGCGGACGGGUUAGUAACGCGUGGGAAUAUACCCUUUGGUACGGAAUAGCCUCUGGAAACGGAGAGUAAUACCGUAUGAGCCCUUCGGGGGAAAGAUUUAUCGCCAAAGGAUUAGCCCGCGUUAGAUUAGGUAGUUGGUGGGGUAAUGGCCUACCAAGCCUACGAUCUAUAGCUGGUUUUAGAGGAUGAUCAGCAACACUGGGACUGAGACACGGCCCAGUCUCCUACGGGAGGCAGCAGUGGGGAAUCUUGGACAAUGGGGGCAACCCUGAUCCAGCCAUGCCGCGUGAGUGAUGAAGGCCCUAGGGUCGUAAAGCUCUUUCGCCUGUGAAGAUAAUGACGGUAGCAGGUAAAGAAUCCCCGGCUAACUCCGUGCCAGCAGCCGCGGUAAUACGGAGGGGGUUAGCGUUGUUCGGAAUUACUGGGCGUAAAGCGCACGUAGGCGGACUGGAAAGUUGGGGGUGAAAUCCCAGGGCUCAACCCCGGAACUGCCUCCAAAACUAUCAGUCUAGAGUUCGAGAGAGGUGAGUGGAAUUCCGAGUGUAGAGGUGAAAUUCGUAGAUAUUCGGAGGAACACCAGUGGCGAAGGCGGCUCACUGGCUCGAUACUGACGCUGAGGUGCGAAAGUGUGGGGAGCAAACAGGAUUAGAUACCCUGGUAGUCCACACCGUAAACGAUGAAUGCCAGUCGUCGGGUAGCAUGCUAUUCGGUGAACACACCUAACGGAUUAAGCAUUCCGCCUGGGGAGUACGGUCGCAAGAUUAAAACUCA
rnacentral:rRNA from 1 species